rnacentral:rRNA from 1 species
UACGGAGGGGGCGAGCGUUAUUCGGAAUUAUUGGGCGUAAAAAGCUCGUAGGCGGUCUGUCGCGUCUGCUGUGAAAACUCAGGGCUUAACCCUGAGCUUGCAGUGGGUACGGGCAGACUAGAGUGCGGUAGGGGAGACUGGAAUUCCUGGUGUAGCGGUGAAAUGCGCAGAUAUCAGGAGGAACACCGGUGGCGAAGGCGGGUCUCUGGGCAGUAACUGACGCUGAGGAGCGAAAGCGUGGGGAGCGAACAGG